AUACAUCAAUUUGGCAGUACAUAUACUGAAAUUGGAAGGAUAUAGAGAAGAUCAGCAUGACUCCUUACAAGGAUGACACACAAAUUUGUGACAUGUUCCAUCUUUUU
ensembl:snRNA U6 U6 spliceosomal RNA